rnacentral:rRNA from 1 species
AUUGAACGCUGGCGGCAGGCCUAACACAUGCAAGUCGCACGAGUGGCGGACGGGUGAGUAAUUUCUGGGAAACUGCCUGAUGGAGGGGGAUAACUACUGGCAACUGUAUCUAAUACCCCAUACCAUCAUAUGGGCCCCGAUGGGAGUAGCUAGUUGGUGGGGUAACGGCUCACCAAGGAGACGAUCCCUAGCUGGUCUGAGAGGAUGACGAGGCACACUGGAACUGAGACAUGGUCCCGACUCCGACGGGAGGCAGCAGUGGGGAAUAUUGUACAAUGGGCGCAAGCCUGAUGCAGCCAUGCCGCGUGUAUGAAGAAGGCCUUCGGGUUGUAAAGUACUUUCAGCGGGGAGGCGUUACCCGCAGAAGAAGCACCGGCUAACUCCGUGCCAGCAGCCGCGGUAAUUC